rnacentral:rRNA from 1 species
GAUGAACGCUGGCGGCGUGCCUAACACAUGCAAGUCGAGCGGAGAAUUGUUGCUUGCAACCCUUCUUAGCGGCGGACGGGUGAGUAACACGUGGGUAACCUGCCCUAAACAAAGGGAUAACAAUGAGAAAUCAUUGCUAAUACCGUAUAAGCUUACACUAUCGCAUGAUAGAGUAAGAAAAGAUUUAUCGGUUUAGGAGGGGCCCGCGUCUGAUUAGCUAGUUGUAGAGGUAACGGCUCACCAAGGCGACGAUCAGUAGCCGACCUGAGAGGGUGAUCGGCCACAUUGGGACUGAGACACGGCCCAAACUCCUACGGGAGGCAGCAGUGGGGAAUAUUGCACAAUGGAGGAAACUCUGAUGCAGCAACGCCGCGUGAAGGAAGAAGGUUUUCGGAGCGUAAACUUCUAUCUACAGGGAAGAAAAAAAUGACGGUACCUGAGUAAGAAGCCCCGGCUAACUACGUG